rnacentral:rRNA from 1 species
AGACCCGAAACCCGGUGAUCUAGCCAUGGGCAGGUUGAAGGUUGGGUAACACUAACUGGAGGACCGAACCGACUAAUGUUGAAAAAUUAGCGGAUGACCUGUGGCUGGGGGUGAAAGGCCAAUCAAACCGGGAGAUAGCUGGUUCUCCCCGAAAGCUAUUUAGGUAGCGCCUCGUGAAUUCAUCUCCGGGGGUAGAGCACUGUUUCGGCUAGGGGGCCAUCCCGGCUUACCAACCCGAUGCAAACUGCGAAUACCGGAGAAUGUUAUCACGGGAGACACACGGCGGGUGCUAACGUCCGUCGUGAAGAGGGAAACAACCCAGACCGCCAGCUAAGGUCCCAAAGUCAUGGUUAAGUGGGAAACGAUGUGGGAAGGCCCAGACAGCCAGGAUGUUGGCUUAGAAGCAGCCAUCAUUUAAAGAAAGCGUAAUAGCUCACUGGUCGAGUCGGCCUGCGCGGAAGAUGUAACGGGGCUAAACCAUGCACCGAAGCUGCGGCAGCGACACUAUGUGUUGUUGGGUAGGGGAGCGUUCUGUAAGCCUGCGAAGGUGGCCUGUGAGGGUUGCUGGAGGUAUCAGAAGUGCGAAUGCUGACAUAAGUAACGAUAAAGCGGGUGAAAAGCCCGCUCGCCGGAAGACCAAGGGUUCCUGUCCAACGUUAAUCGGGGCAGGGUGAGUCGACCCCUAAGGCGAGGCCGAAAGGCGUAGUCGAUGGGAAACGGGUUAAUAUUCCCGUACUUGGUGUUACUGCGAAGGGGGGACGGAGAAGGCUAUGUUGGCCGGGCGACGGUUGUCCCGGUUUAAGCGUGUAGGUGUGUGUUCCAGGUAAAUCCGGUUCACUUUAACACUGAGGCGUGACGACGAGGCACUACGGUGCUGAAGCAACAAAUGCCCUGCUUCCAGGAAAAGCCUCUAAGCAUCAGGUAACAUCAAAUCGUACCCCAAACCGACACAGGUGGUCAGGUAGAGAAUACCAAGGCGCUUGAGAGAACUCGGGUGAAGGAACUAGGCAAAAUGGUGCCGUAACUUCGGGAGAAGGCACGCUGACAC